rnacentral:rRNA from 1 species
AGUGAACGCUGGCGGUAGGCCUAACACAUGCAAGUCGAACGGCAGCACAGUAAGAGCUUGCUCUUACGGGUGGCGAGUGGCGGACGGGUGAGGAAUACAUCGGAAUCUACUUUUUCGUGGGGGAUAACGUAGGGAAACUUACGCUAAUACCGCAUACGACCUACGGGUGAAAGCAGGGGAUCUUCGGACCUUGCGCGAUUGAAUGAGCCGAUGUCGGAUUAGCUAGUUGGCGGGGUAAAGGCCCACCAAGGCGACGAUCCGUAGCUGGUCUGAGAGGAUGAUCAGCCACACUGGAACUGAGACACGGUCCAGACUCCUACGGGAGGCAGCAGUGGGGAAUAUUGGACAAUGGGCGCAAGCCUGAUCCAGCCAUGCCGCGUGGGUGAAGAAGGCCUUCGGGUUGUAAAGCACUUUUGUUGGGGAAGAAAAGCAGCAGGUUAAUACCCCGCUGUUCUGACGGUACCCAAAGAAUAAGCACCGGCUAACUUCGUG